UAGGGAAUAUUGGUCAAUGGGUGAGAGCCUGAACCAGCCAUGCCGCGUGCAGGAAGAAGGCGUUAUGCGUUGUAAACUGCUUUUGCCAGGGGAUAAAAAGACCGUGCGCGGUUAAUUGAAGGUACCUGGUGAAUAAGCCACGGCUAACUACGUGCCAGCAGCCGCGGUAAUACGUAGGUGGCAAGCGUUGUCCGGAUUUAUUGGGUUUAAAGUGUGCGUAGGCGGCCCCGUAAGUCAGUGGUGAAAUAUCUCAGCUUAACUGAGAGGGUGCCAUUGAUACUGCGGGGCUUGAGUACAGAUGAGGUAGGCGGAAUUGACGGUGUAGCGGUGAAAUGCAUAGAUAUCGUCAAGAACACCGAUAGCGAAGGCAGCUUACCAAGCUGUAACUGACGCUGAGGCACGAAAGUGUGGGGAUCAAACAGGAUUAGAUACCCCAGUAGUCCCUGAGCGGGCUGGCAAGGCGCAU
rnacentral:rRNA from 1 species